rnacentral:snRNA from 1 species
AAUAUUGUAUCCAAUGAAGUUAAUCCGAGGGAUGAUUAUUGCUCAUUGAAAACUUGUUGCCAU